rnacentral:rRNA from 1 species
GAUGAACGCUGGCGGCGUGCUUAAUACAUGCAAGUCGAGCGAACGGACGAGAAGCUUGCUUCUCUGAUGUUAGCGGCGGACGGGUGAGUAACACGUGGAUAACCUACCUAUAAGACUGGGAUAACUUCGGGAAACCGGAGCUAAUACCGGAUAAUAUUUUGAACCGCAUGGUUCAAAAGUGAAAGACGGUCUUGCUGUCACUUAUAGAUGGAUCCGCGCUGCAUUAGCUAGUUGGUAAGGUAACGGCUUACCAAGGCAACGAUGCAUAGCCGACCUGAGAGGGUGAUCGGCCACACUGGAACUGAGACACGGUCCAGACUCCUACGGGAGGCAGCAGUAGGGAAUCUUCCGCAAUGGGCGAAAGCCUGACGGAGCAACGCCGCGUGAGUGAUGAGGUCUUCGGAUCGUAAAACUCUGUUAUUAGGGAAGAACAUAUGUGUAAGUAACUGUGCACAUCUUGACGGUACCUAAUCAGAAAGCCACGGCUAACUACGUG